rnacentral:tmRNA from 1 species
GGGGACGAUUUGGAUUCGACAAGGAUUGCGAAGCGGAACAGGGCAUACCGAGGGCUGGUCACCUCGUAAAUCCAACCGGAAAAAAACAACUGCUAACGACAACCGUUACGCAUUGGCCGCCUAAUCGGCCAUCCCUGCACUGUCUCUUUCCUGGGGCAGACCUUCGGGUGGCAGGGUCAGAUACAGGAAAUCGCCUGUUGCUGCGUUACCCGGCACCAGGUUAAAUCAAGGUAUCUCGUCUGACCGGAGUGUGCGUGUCCACGCCGGAAGGAUUAAACCAAACGACAAUGCUAAGUAUGUAGAACUGUCUGUAACGGAUUUUUGGACGCGGGUUCGAAACCCGCCGUCUCCACCA